UGUUUUUUUUUUUUUUUUGUUUUUGGGGUUUUUUUUUUUUUUUUUUAUUUAACAUAUGGACAUAGGCAAUUAGCAACUCUUCAAUUGCUCGAACUGGAAGCGGCAUUGCAGUUUGCCACUGCCUUUACACUGUGGCGCACUGGUGGGAAGAGAGCAGAGGGGUGCAUGAACGUACCUUCAGAAGGAUCAGUGGUGGCAUUUCUUCGGGUUUGAGCUUGAGCCCGAGGCAUCUCUACCAGAGAUAUGGUCAAAAAAAAGCAUAAGCCUAGCAGCAAAUCUAGUUGCCGCCUUGGCGCCACCUUCGCGAGUUUCAUCUCUGUCGGUAAGUUGUUGCAAAUAUGGACCAGCAGCAUGCGAAUUUCAGAGGUAAAUUCUGUACUUAUAUAUCAAGAAGUGAACGUCUAUUCUUUGGCCAUAUUUCUCAUUUUUUCUUGGUUGACAGCUAAUUGUUUACUUUUCGUCAACUGCAAUUAACACGUUUGGUCCCGCUUUAAAGCAGAUAAAAAUCAAUUUCUGGGACCGAUGCCUUGUCUUUAACCAUUUGAAAAAUUUAAAGUGCCGGCUCUUCUCAGACUUUUCA